CUUCCCAUUUUACAAAUGAAAAACUGAGAAGUUGAAGGUCUAAGCAACUCAGCCAAGUUUAUAUACCUAAGACUAACGCCCUCACCUUCUGAUUGCAGACCUCUUAUUUUUUCAGGACACAUAUUAAAUAUUCAGGAGGGGGGUUAACAAAACCACUUAUUCUGUUAUUAUUAAUACUUCCUUUUGUACAGAAAGUAAGAGAGAGACUCGAGGGUAUUUGUUUAUCCCCGGCUGAGAAUUUUCGAUUACCCUGACACAGGUGGCUCUGCUCACUGCAUUCAAUCAGCAUGCCAGUAAACCCUCAGAGUGUGUUGCUAAGUAAUGUUAGUCUCCAAGUCCUCUGCAUGUCACUGCAGAUCUGCUGCAGCAGAUCGAGGAACUUACAGAAAUGAAUUCUCCUGAGAUCCAGUCAACAUCCCCUCAGAAUAUGGAGUUAAAUUUUGUCACAACUCCAAAUAUCUCUCAGAGAAAUGACAACUCACAGAAGGAAGUGCACAUGAGUCAUAAACCCACAGCCCCAGAAUACUAAGCAGCUCUGUUUUUCACCUGACAGCUGGGGUGAGCAGAAGCACUCUCUGUUCUCCCUCUCUCUCUCUCUUUUUUCUUAACUAAAAACAACUUAAGGGAAAAAGAAGAAGAAGAAAAAAGCACCCUUUUGGAGCUUGGUGAAGUCCACAGACUUAUUGUGAGAAGGUACAAUAGUCCCCCAAACAUUUGGCCCACCUUGUUUUUCCUUUUUGAACUUACUAAUGAUACAGAUUGAAUCUCUUCUGCCUUCACUGUUAAGAUGUCAUGAAAGAAAAAAAGGUCGGUGGGGGGAGAGAAAAUAGAGGAAGUAGUUAAGCUGCAUAGCAUAUAAGCAUAUCCUUCUUUAGAAUCUUCCCUUCAAACCAGGACUUUAUGGAAUAAGGUUGGAAAUCACUGAUUUCCAAAGAAAGCAGAAAAUAAAACACCAGAUGAGUACAAUUGUUUUCCUGGAGUAUAGUUUUCUUUAAAGCCAGCUCUUUACAUAUUUUCUGCAGCCUUGGCAAUUGUUAACUUCUCAAUAGUUCUAGUAAAGGUAAUUUCUCUAAAGCUCUUGUUCUUUCUAUGGAACCCAGUUGGAAAGGAUCAUUUGUUAACCAGGUCUUUGUUCUUAUAGAUAAAUAUCGGAAUGAUCCACAGUCAGAACUUUGUGGGCCUCUUGUUAAUGCUGGAAAUUUUUCAACAGGCCUGGAGGAUUUGCCGGACCUGAGGCAACAUGUCAGCGACUGAGAGUGGUGAACUCUGUAAUAUGCCUUUGCUGUAUGACUUAAGAUUAUUCAGCUCUGCUCAAGAAAGAAAGUGAAACAAAGAAAGAGGAUAAAUGAAACUGGGUGGAGAUGCAAGCAGCUUGUGAGACAUAGGCAGAAUUUACAUGAUGAGCAUGGUAAAACUAAGUGGCUUAGUAACCCCUGAGUCAUAGUAGCCAUCAACAAAGUAGAGAAUGUGCAUACUGAACACAGAUAGGAGGGAGGAAUGGAAAGAGGUGAUAUUGACAACAUAUCCAUAUGCAUAUGACACCAAACAUUUGAAAUGUACUAAAUAUAAAUACAUAAAAUAUGAGAACUUAAGGGAAGUCUUCAGUCAGCCACCCAUUGGUGACCCCCGUUCUAGCCACAGAAAUCCCCUGUGCAAGGAAUGCAAAUAGUCCUUAGCUGUGCAUCAGGCCAAAUGAUGAGCUACAGGUCAUGGCCAGGUGGGCUUGUCCCUGAGUCUUUCCAAGUAUACUACUGACCCGGGCAUCUUUUCCUUGCUGAGCCCCUUGCUGAAACCUCAGAUUUGACCUAUAUAAUUACACCACGGGGAAGGUCAACGUGGUAGAUAGAGAGAACAGGUCACAUGAGCACUGUGUGUCCCAAGAUUUAAGUAGCUGGGUUCUUUCUCCGGUGUGAAUUCUAUUGUAAUUAUUUUAACUGUCCCUAUCUCUUCCCCUCUUUCUUCUCAUAAUGUGUUUUAAUUGAUUUGAUAAACCAUGUGACUCAUGCAUCUUAAUUUGUUGUGUUAGCCUUUCUUCUUUGAGACCUCUAGGAUAAGCUGGCAGUAGACUUGGAGACUACAAUUGCAUCAAGAGACAUCUUUGAAAAUAAAGUCACAGGCACAAGAUCACCUUUCAGGCUGAAUAGAUUAACCCUGGAAAAUUUAUUAUUAAAUCAGCUUAAAGGGCAUAAAGAAUUUCAGAGCAAAAUUUUAGGAGGAAAAAAAGGGCUAUAAGAAAAUUACACUGCCAACUCCAUGGCUUGAAUCUUACAUGACUUCACCACAGAUCCUGUGCAGCCCUGCUUAUGAGAAGAAAGAGGGGAAGAGAUAGGGACAGUUAAAAUAAUUACAAUAGAAUUCACACCGGAGAAAGAACCCAGCUACUUAAAAUCUCCAUUAGAUUUUCAUCAUAUUAUAACUUCAGGGCCUUGGACUUCUCCCAUGAUUACCUCUGAGAAGAGAUCCAGAGAAAGGAGAGUUUUACAUGCCUUGCCUAGGGAAUUCUAGAAAUGGAGCUUACGUUUGUUUGCCCCAGCUGUGAGUGAGGUGCUAUAACCACAUUGUUAACUCAUUCAGAUGGUGCUUUAUGUUUCCUCUGUUUUCAGGUGAGGAAAGUGAGCCUCUGUGAGGAUAGUAGCUUGCCCCAAGUGUACAGUCUGAUAGGUAGCAAAGCCAGAAUUUGAACUUGUAUCUGUCUAAUGCCCUAGUCCACUCUGCAGAAAUAUCGUUCCAAUGAAGAGGUCCACCAUGAACAGAAACCUGAGAUUUUCUAAAGAGAUGAACUUGAGAUGGAAAGAACCUGAAGUGAACCCAACUGUCCCCCAUUGUCAUUUCUUAGGAUGGAUGAAAUAAAUUUUCCUUUUUAUGACACAAUUUUUUUGGUCUGUACAGGAUAAAACAUCAGCUAAAUAGGCCUAAAGUAUCAGGAAAAUUUUUGGUGAAUUUGCAGUUAAAAUGGAAACAAAACUGCUUUUUAAAAUUGAAACACUUUUUUUUUUUUUUUUUUGCCACAAGCUUGGCUGGGUUUGGCUCAUCUUCUUGGUUAUGAAAAUCAUUUUCUCCAAAUUAAUUUCUUAAAAGCUUAACUGUCCCAGGCUUUCAAGCCAGGGGGUUAAAUUGAUCUGAUGUGCACCAGAGGUCUUGGGAAUGUCCUGGCCAGGGUAAUAAAUGAAAUGCAUUAAAUAAUCUUAAUUGAUACAGUAAUACUCAGGGGGCAACUGUAUUGCCAAAGAAUUGUCUCCUUAUUCAUUUCUGCUCAUUUAGAUAUUAAUCAGAUUUCUAAAGAGAGAUGCAGUGCAUCUGGAUGCUACUGUGAUUGCAGAUGAGAAAUAGCAUGUUAAGUGUCCUGGGGCUGUUUGGCAACAACCUGUCAACAUCUCCUUGAAAUAUGUUGAACCAGGUACUAGAAUGUUUAUAGAGGUUAGGAAACCAAGAUAGGUUUUCAAGUAGAGGAAAAUGAAGUUGGAGCUAUUGAACUUUGGAGCUUUAUUCAUUCAAUCACUCAAACACUUAUUCAGUCAUUCAUCUAGCUAUUCAGUAAAUAUUUAUUGAGCACCUACUGUGUGCCUGCGGCUCUGUUAGACUGGGAAUACAGUUUAUAAGCCUUUGUGGUCAAGUACAGUAGCUACCAGCCACAUGUGGCUAUUGAGCACUUGAAAUGUGGCUGAUUCUAAUUAAAGUUGUCUACUGAGCAGUUGAAAUGUGUUGCUCCAAAUUAGGGUGUACACAACUGAUUUCAAGGACUUAGUAGGGAAAAAAAAGAAUGUAAUAUAUGCCAUUAGUAACUUUUGGAUACUAAUGGAUUGUGUUGAAGUGAUAAGUUUUGAUAUAUCACAUAAAAUAAAAUAUAAUAAAUAA